GACAGAGGGUGCAAACGUUGCUCGGAAUCACUGGGCGUAAAGGGCGUGUAGGCGGGAAGGAUAGUCAGAUGUGAAAGCCCUGGGCUCAACCCAGGAACUGCAUUUGAAACUCCCUUUCUUGAGUGUCGGAGGGGAAAGCGGAAUUCCUGGUGUAGAGGUGAAAUUCGUAGAUAUCAGGAGGAACACCGGUGGCGAAGGCGGCUUUCUGGACGACAACUGACGCUGAGACGCGAAAGCGUGGGGAGCAAACAGG
rnacentral:rRNA from 1 species